GUUUUCGUGGCCAAAAAUCAAAGCGUCGGUCUUGUAAGCCGAAGACUGGAGGUGAAACCCCUCCCCAAAACA
rnacentral:tRNA from 1 species